UCACAACCUUUCAAGUAUGAUUCUGUGGAGCGUGAGGAGUUAAACGCCUUCAUGCCUGCAUAUUCGUGCUCUUGGGUGUACUUGCUCGUGUGGUUGGUUAACAUCAAUUUCGGUUAUCAUAAAAUGGUUGGAGGAAUGUAGCUUCGAUUUCGAUUGAAGUGUUAUAGCCUUUGGCAGAUGUGAUGAUCGGGAUUGAGGAUUGCAACGGAUACCCUUCGGGGCUACCUGUCUGAUCUCUGAUCGUUGCUCUGGUGCCGAAAGCUUGCUUACGGUUAUCAAAGUCGAUGGUCAACAGGUUAGAAUGGGUUAAAUUCGUUAAGGAUGUUGACGUA
rnacentral:rRNA from 1 species